ensembl:snoRNA SNORA66 Small nucleolar RNA SNORA66
GUACAAACUGUAUCACUAACUCUGCAUGAUGCCACAGAAGUGAGGAGAACCAGGUGUGCUAAAGUAAUUGCAGUGAUAGAUAGGGAUUAACUGCAGACAGUACUGAGUUACCUAUUUGGUCCUAGUACAGGG